rnacentral:tRNA from 1 species
GCCGCCGUGGUGGAAUUGGUAGACACGCUGCUCCUAGGAAGCAGUGCUAAAGGCAUCUCGGUUCGAAUCCGAGCGGCGGCA